rnacentral:rRNA from 1 species
AGAGUUUGAUCCUGGCUCAGAGCGAACGUUGGCGGCGUGCUUAACACAUGCAAGUCGAGCGAGAAAGCUCCUUCGGGAGUGAGUACAGCGGCGGACGGGUGUAGAACACGUGAGAAUCUGCCCUUUAGUGAAGAAUACCUCCGAGAAAUCGGGGCUAAUACUGCAUAAUCCCUUCGGGGCAAAGGUGGCUUUAUGCUGCCGCUAGAGGAUGAGCUUGCGCGCUAUUAGCUUGUUGGUGGGGUAAAGGCCUACCAAGGCGAUGAUGGCUAGCCGGCCUGAGAGGGUGUACGGCCACAUUGGGACUGAGAUACGGCCCAGACUCCUACGGGAGGCAGCAGUGAGGAAUAUUGCGCAAUGGGCGAAAGCCUGACGCAGCGACGCCGCGUGGAGGAUGACGGUUUUAGGAUUGUAAACUCCUGUUAAGUGGGAAGAAAGACCGAUCUCUAAUAUAGAUCGGGAAUGACGGUACCACUAGAGAAAGCACCGGCUAACUUCGUGCCAGCAGCCGCGGUAAUACGAGGGGUGCAAACGUUAUCCGGAAUUACUGGGCGUAGAGGGCGUCUAGGCGGUCGGUCAAGUCGAUCGUGAAAGUCCUCGGCUAAACUGAGGAAAGUCGACCGAUACUGAUUGGCUAGAGGGACGUAGAGGGAAGCGGAACUCUCGGAGUAGCGGUGAAAUGCGUAGAGACCGAGAGGUACCUCGAUGGUGAAGACAGCUUCCUGGGCGUCUCCUGACGCUGAAGCGCUAAGGCCAGGGGAGCGAAGGGGAUUAGAUACCCCCGUAGUCCUGGCUUCAAACUAUGUGGGCUUGGUGUCGGCUCCCGAUAGAGAGUCGUUGCCGGAGCUAACGUGUUAAGCCCACCGCCUGGGGAUUACGUCCGCAAGGAUGAAACUCAAGGGAAUUGACGGGGGCCCACACAACCGGUGGAGCACGUGGUUUAAUUCGAUGAUAAGCGAAGAACCUUACCAGGGCUUGACCUAGCGGUAGUAGGACCCUGAAAAGGGAACGACCUCAAGCUUUGCUUGAGGAGCCGUGGCAGGUAUUGCAUGGCUGUCGUCAGCUCGUGUCGUGGGACGUUGGGUUAAGUCCCGUAACGAGCGCAACCCCUGCCCUUAAUUGCCAGCGGGUAAUGCCGGGGACUAUAAGGGGACUGCCGGAGAAUAUCCGGAGGAAGGAGGGGAUGACGUCAAGUCAUUAUGAUCCUUAUGCUCUGGGCUACACACGUGCUACAAUGGGUACUACAGUGAGGAGCAAAUUCGCAAGGAUGAGCAAAUCUCAAAAAGGUGCCCUCAGUGCGGAUUGGGGUCUGUAACUCGACCCCAUGAAGAUGGAAUCGGUAGUAAUCGCGGGUCAGCAAUACCGCGGUGAAUAUGUACUUGGGCCUUGUACACACCGCCCGUCACACCAACCGAGUAGGCAACACCCGAAGUCGACGUUAUGUUGCCCAAGGUGUUACCUGCAAGGGGGGUGAAGUCGUAA